rnacentral:misc_RNA from 1 species
AAGAACUUGAACAUUUGAGGCAUGAAGUGGGGCUUCAACUGUAAAGAUCCCCCCUUCAUGACCUUCGCCUGCCUUGAUGUGCUUUUUCACCUGCAACACAAAAGAAGAAGAUGAUGGGUGUUUUAAAAUAAAGUAAAUCUUCAUUCUGGAGGACAAAAUCAUUAACCAUAGAAAGAAAUCCACUAAUCCAUUUCACUUCUAGGUGAUAAGAAAAUACACAUAUCAAAAUUAAGCUCAUAAUUCACAGAGGAAAAGGCUAACAAAAACGCAUAAGGAAAAUUAUUAAGAGAACAAAAAGAAGAUUAUGUGCAUUGAACAAAACAUCGUGCCAUGACUUCUUGAAUUGAUGAAAAGGCAUUACUGCCAAUUUCUUCUACCUGCAAAUUUUUUAAGUUGAACUUCGAAACCAUAAAAGAAUUAACAUCUACCAUGACAUUUAGUUCAAUAAGUAGAUCCUAUACUCACCUUGAUUUUUCUCUUCAUCAAAUAAGUUAAUAUGAUGUAAAAUGCUAUAAGUAGGAAAGAAACAUGAUAUCCAAGAAAAAGUAAUAAAGCAAAGAAAGAAUCUUCAGAUUGGCAUUUCAAUAUUGUGUAGUAAAAGCAUCUAAGUACAAGCAAUCAAAUUUACUAGCACAUGUAAGAUUUUACCCGUAAUUAAUAUUACUAUACGGGUCAAAAUCAAUUCCUUUAAUGUAGUCCAAUAUUAAUUGAUAUUUACUUUAAUUAAUACAAAUCCUAAUUGUACAAAGAUUACUUUAUUAAAGUAAAUCCUAAUCGUAUAUGGAUUACUUGACGGGGAUUACUUGACGGACCUACUAGAUUAAAUCUUAGAGAUAAAUGAUGGUCCUCUCUCUACUUAUAAGAUUACACAUAUUCUCUUUCAUAAAGUAGGAGAUAUUAAAGUCAUAUCAAGAAAAUUUUCCAUCACUAAAAUUUUGUGUGUGAAUCAAGAAGGGUCAAGAGGGAGAAAUCAAUUUAUUGAAUCAAAGAGUGUCUCUCAAUUAUUACCAUGGCUUAAUUAAACUCCGCAUCAGAUACGCUUUCUAGAUCUGUGAGAAUUUAUUUGUUCAAGAUCCAUUAAUAGGGUGAUAGUUGAAUCUUAUUAUCUUAUAAUCUAUUAGGGUGGUAUCAGAGCCCUAAGUUUUGAACAAUUAAAUUUCUUCACUAAAUUUAUAAUGAACAUAAUGUCUAUUUUUUUAUGUUAGAUUUGGGUAGAAUUGAAGUAUAGAUCUUAAAAGCUUAAAGUUUAAGAAUUAAUGAUUUAAAAUAAUAAUAAUAAUAACAGAACGGAGAAGUGGAAGACUGAAGAUGCAAUGAAAUAGACAUGGAUAGUCUGUCUGUGGACUCACUGCCCCCACAUCAAUUGCAAAAAAUCAUAGCAAAAUGUUCGGGAAAAGAAAAGUAACCAGAUAAGAAGCUGAGUAUGUCCUAAUAAUAACAGAAAAAAAAGUUAAUGCACACCUUCCAGUAAAGCAAUAUUGACAUGGUUUCCAAAAUGCAUAAUUCUCAGGCACUAGUAGUCGGUCUAAAUGAUGAAGCAGGUACUAUGUGUUUCUUAAAUGAUAAUAGAAUAAGCAGUCAGCAUUUUUUUUUCCCUAGCUUAUUUAGGUUUAUCUAUGUACAUAUAUAU